GUUCUUUGUUUUAUCGGUUAUAUACCUCAACAGAAUGAAAGGAAAAGGAUCCCAGCUCAGCCAUUGCUUCGGAACUGCUGCACCUGACAUCCGCAAGGAGCUGAUGCGGGAGAUCGAGUCACAACGUCGUGGCCUCUGCAGGCAUCCUCAUUGAUCAACGAGUCAAGGAAGGAGGAGAAGAUAUCAUCUGUGUAACAGUCGAUCCCAAUCCCUCCAUCUUCGCUGGUUCUGUCUGUCCGAAAAGCUUCUCUCGUUAUCUUGAACAACGAUGCCUCUGCGAUGAGUACCCUGAGCACGAAGCACGAUGGGAUC